GAUGACAGAAACUUCAUUGGCUUUGGCAAAGCAGAAAUUUAUUAGCUUACAAGGUUUAAGUAACAGCUUUUCUUUCCCAGCUCUGAUUUAUUUGAGUUCAAGGACUUCAGUAUUCAAUUUGAAGGAGUGGAAAUAAACCAGGAAAGAAUAAGGAGCAAGAAAGCCUCGAUUUCUUAUCCUUUUAAGUGGCUGAUAUCAAAACAUCAAUGUGACCUCACCGGACUCAAAGUUGAGAAGACAUGCUCACCAAUGUAUCACAUUGCAUGGUUAAAGCUAGAGCAAAUCAGCUCCUGAAUAUCAUUACCUGCAGAAGUGAGCAUACUUCUCUAGAACGAUGCCUUCUUUUACCUUGUGGAUAAGAGCAACUUGCAUCCUGGAUCAAAUUUUAGUUACCGUGUUUGUGCUACAAAGCUUAGAGCCAAACUGAAAGCUAAUUUAAAAUAAUGUAUGUAUUAUUUAAAAUAAGGUAUGUUUUCAAGUUUUUGUUGCCUCAUUUCUAGGUCUAUUUGAUCUUAACUCAAUCCUUGUUUUAUUUUUUCAGUUUUGUUUUGUUUUCAGAGACAGGGUCUCACUCUGUAGCCCAGGCUGGAGU